rfam:Oryza meridionalis cultivar OR44 (W2112) chromosome 12, whole genome shotgun sequence.
AACCACACUAUCAAUUAAUGGAUUCACCCGCAAAAUGACGUAGUUGUUUCACAUAUGACGAGGACAUGGCAUCCCAUUAUUAGCCAUCGCACGAAAUUAAUAGGAUGCAACGUCCUCAUCCUAGAUGGAACAACCAUAUCAUCUCACGGGUAAAUCCAUUUAUCGAUAGUGUGGUU